UCCAGGACCCAGUAAAGGUUGCAUCUCCAUCAUUUCAACUCUGUUACUCCCAGACUGAUCUGUUGAAAUAAAAUAUAGCAACAUUAACAACAACAAAAACAACAACAUUAAUAACCUGACCAGUAAUUACACAUUAGACUCAUAAAGCCUGAGGUCUUCUCUCCCUGAGGACAACAACAUUAAUAACCUGACCAGUAAUUACACAUUAGACUCAUAAAGCCUGAGGUCUUCUCUCCCUGAGGACAACAACAUUAAUAACCUGACCAGUAAUUACACAUUAGACUCAUAAAGCCUGAGGUCUUCUCUCCCUGAGGACAACAACAUUAAUAACCUGACCAGUAAUUACACAUUAGACUCAUAAAGCCUGAGGUCUUCUCUCCCUGAGGACAACAACAUUAAUAACCUGACCAGUAAUUACACAUUAGACUCAUAAAGCCUGAGGUCUUCUCUCCCUGAGGACAACAACAUUAAUAACCUGACCAGUAAUUACACAUUAGACUCAUAAAGCCUGAGGUCUUCUCUCCCUGAGGACAACAACAUUAAUAACCUGACCAGUAAUUACACAUUAGACUCAUAAAGCCUGAGGUCUACUC